AGGAGCCGUGUGCGGAGAAAUUUGCAAGCACGGUUUUGUAGGAGAGGGUGGGAAAGCGAUUUUCCACUCGACUCCAC
rnacentral:ncRNA from 1 species